GUACACGCUGUGACUAGCAUAUCAAUAAGCGGAGGAAAAGUACUACCUACGCUUAGGAUGUUGACACACGCGCGUGCUCGACUCUAUACAUGACUCUGUGCAUAUCAAUAAGCGGAGGAAAAGAAACUAACAAGGAUUCCCCUAGUAACGGCGAGUGAAGCGGGAAGAGCUCAAAUUUGAAAUCUUAAAGGGUUUCCCUUUACGAAUUGUAGUUUAAAGAAGUGUUUUCUGUUGAGGUUUUGGUAAAAGUUCUUUGGAAUAGGACAUCAUAGAGGGUGAGAAUCCCGUAUUUGACCUUUACUUUCAACUUUGUGAUACACUUUCAAAGAGUCGGAUUGUUUGGGAAUGCAGUCCAAAAUGGGUGGUAAAUUUCAUCUAAAGCUAAAUAUUGGCGAGAGACCGAUAGCGUACAAGUACCGUGAGGGAAAGAUGAAAAGAACUUUGAAAAGAGAGUUAAACAGUACGUGAAAUUGUCAAAAGGGAAGCGUUUGACACCAGUGUUGUUUUUCUGAAAAUCAAUUAAAGAACUGUUUAUGCUAAGCUGUUUAGACUUUAUCAGCUAUCUGUUUAGUUUUGAGCUUUUCUUUAAUGCACUUUUCAGUUAACAAGUCAACAUCAAUUUCUUUUGCUGUAAAAAAGCUUGAGGAAGGUGGCUUGAGAUUCGUCUUAAGUGUUUAUAGCCUCUUGCCUAUGCAGUCGGAGAGAUUGAGGUCUGCAGCGUAGAUCCUUCGGGGCUAAAUGCAUUUGUGCUAAGUUAUAGCAUUUUAUAGACAACUUGUUGACUAUGAUUUGUCUUGUAGCUUACUCGCUUAUGUUAUUUUACCUACGCUUAGGAUGUUGAUAUGCAUGACUGAUAU
rnacentral:rRNA from 1 species